UUACGCUGUUAUCCCUAAGGUAAUUUAAUCUUGCAAUCAAAAUAAAUGGAUCAAACAACUAUAAAUCAAUAUAACCUAAAACCAAGAGGAGUUAAACUAUAUUCCUCUCAUCACCCCAACAAAACAAAAAGCCCACUUACCAAAAACAAAACAAACAACAUAAAUAAAUAAGCCAAAUGUCAAACUCUAUAGGGUCUUCUCGUCCCAUAAAAACAUCUAAGAAUUUUAACUCAAAGACCAAAUUCAAUAAAACAUCCAUCACUAAGACAGCCAGUGCCUCGUCAAGCCAUUCAUUCCAGAUCACAAUUAAAGAACUAAUGAUUAUGCUACCUUUGCACGGUCAAAAUACCGCGGCCCUUCAACACUCAAGUCAGCGGGCAGGCCAUACUUCAAAAACUAACAAGAAAAGAUGUUUUUGAUAAACAGGCG
rnacentral:rRNA from 1 species